GAGCUGCCGUUUCCAACCAGAUAUGGUUCUUCUUUCAAUGGUUCUCCAAUUAGAGAGGAGCCACCUCCCUACUCAUCACCUUUACGCAAACGCUACGAGUCACUGGAGAAUCCCUUAGCUGGGACUGAAAGUGAAUACAAUUACAAUGAUGAGGGCCGAUCCUCUUCUGGUAACAUGGAGUUUGGAACAGCUCUUUAUGAUUUUACUGCUGGUGGUGAUGAUGAGAUGAGCCUGGUGACUGGAGAAGAGCUUGAAAUCGAAUAUGAAGUCGAUGGAUGGUUCUAUGUGAAGAAAGUAAGCCCUGGUUGGGAUGGAAAAAUUGCUGGACUGGUCCCUGUUCUCUAUGUCAGCAGAUCUUGAAACUCAUGAUUCGUUUAUAAAUGUGCAUACAUCAAUAAAUGCUGCUAUAUGGGCUGCUGAUGAGCUUUGGGCCAUGCACUUCAGAUUGUUAUGACUAUAAAGGCAAGAAAAAGAAGCUAGAGAGAUUUAAACUUCUUUGUAACCACCAUCUCACCAUCACCUCUUUGGCCAUAUAAGUUGUAUGCAAACAAUCUCUUCAUAAGUUCUACGAUAUUUCCAGUGAUUCAUUAUUUCUCCGGCUGUUCUU